CUCCCCAGGCAAGGUGCCCCCGCUUGGAAGGAAUCCGUUUCCCCGAGUGUCUAACGCAGCCCUGGACACACCAAGGCUGGCCAAGUGCUCAGGGAAGGACUCUCCACGUCUGUGCCUGGCCCGCACAGCCCAGCUCGGUGCUGGCCCUGGAGCAGAGCAGCUUCCAGCAAGCAAGAAGCAAACGCAUCUUGCCAAGAGCUAAAGCACACCAGAUAGGGAAGAUGGCAUUAAUGUGUGCAUAAAGGCCUUUGAAUUCACAGCUCUCUGAGAGACAUUUGGGGCUCUUGGCUGGACAGAGAUGAUCCGGCUCUGUCCUGUGCUCAAAGUGCUGUGCAACUGGAGCAGCAGGACAGGGACCUUUGCAGCCUGAGCUGCCCUUGUUCCUCUCUGCCCGUGUACAGACAACAGCAUGGAAGAGAAGGGCAGCAUAGCCCUGCAUGUCCCCAGGCUCAGGAUUUGUGCUGCUUCAUCUCCACGGACGGAGCCAUGGGUCAAGCGAAAAAGCCAAACUGUUUAUUAAGGGAACACAAGGUGAAGGGGUGA